GCAAGACGGUGUUGGAGCUAACAACCUUGACGAUGAGUGUGUGACCAUUGGUGCCGGGUUUGAGCUGUUCGAUCUUAACGAAGACUGGCUUCCUCAGGCCAGGUCUAGCCGCUGCAUUGCUCUGCUGCAGCUCCUGCGAUGCCGGAGUCGCCAUUGAUGGGAAGCUGAAGAUCAACAGCACGCCAAAAACCCUAAUCCGAAUCCGCGUAUAUCGAUCGAAAAUCUCUCUUCUUUCUCUACCGAUUUUAGGUUUCUG
rnacentral:misc_RNA from 1 species